rnacentral:rRNA from 1 species
UUUAAGAUUAGAGUCUGCUGUAAAUAGUUUUGUCUUUGGUUAAAGUACCUUUUGCAUCAUGAUUCUUUGAGAUGUUUAGAUUAUUUCUAGUUCCCGAAUGGCUUAUGAUUUUCAUUGAUUCAUAGCAAGUUUGUGCAUAGAUAAGUUGUUGUGUAAACAUUUGUAGAAAUCAUUGAGGUUGUGAUAAAUAAUUCGUAUAGUCUGAUAACUGGUUUAUAGCUUGAUUAUUUCAACGAGAUAAAGAUUGAUUGUGUUUAUCUUUACUGAUAGAGAUAGUUUAUAUGUUGUUGUUGAGUCUUGGAUUAGAAUUGUCCUAGGAUAAGUUAGUUAUUUACUUGACAUUUUAUUUGUAUGUUUUCUUAUUGUUGAUGGCUAUAUUCUUAAUUAUUUGUUUAAUAAUGAAGAAAUGAGUAGGAUUAUGUUUUAUUAGUCCGUUAUUUGUCUUUAAUUCUGUUCAACUGUUUAUCAAAAACAUUGCUAUUUGUUGGAUUUAAAUAGUAUGGCCUGCCCAAUGUUGUAAAUUAAUGGUCGCAGUUUUACUGUGCUAAGGUAGCAUAAUAUAUCGCUUCUUAAUUAGUGGCUUGUGAAUGGUUUAAUGAAAUAGAAUAUUUAAAUGAUGACUAUAUCUGAAAUUGAUUUAGUGGUGCGGAAUCCAUUGUUAUAAUAUAAGACGGAAAGACCCCGAGAUCUUGAAUUAAUUUUCUAAUUUUGUUUGGGGUAAAUGUAUAUAUUUCAUUUAUUUUUAGAUCCUAUAUAUUGAUGGAUAUAGGUUAAAGUUACCUCGGGGAUAACUGAGUAAAGAGUUGUGAGAGGUCUUAUUGAUCAACUUGUUACUACCUCGAUGUUGGCUUAAAGAACCUUUAUGGUGUAGCAGCUAUAUAAGGUGGUCUGUUCGACCAUUAAAUCUUUAUGAGUUGAGUUAAGACCGGUGUAAGCCAGGUCGGUUCUUAUCUAUAAGUGAGUCUAGUUAGUACGAAAGGAAUAUUAGAGUGUAAGAUGUUGCA